CCUACGGGAGGCAGCAGUGGGGAAUAUUGGACAAUGGGCGAAAGCCUGAUCCAGCCAUGCCGCGUGAGUGAUGAAGGCCUUAGGGUUGUAAAGCUCUUUUAUCCGGGAAGAUAAUGACUGUACCGGAAGAAUAAGCCCCGGCUAACUUCGUGCCAGCAGCCGCGGUAAUACGAAGGGGGCUAGCGUUGCUCGGAAUCACUGGGCGUAAAGGGCGCGUAGGCGGAUGAUUAAGUCGGAGGUGAAAGCCCAGGGCUCAACCCUGGAAUUGCCUUCGAUACUGAUCGUCUCGAGAAUGGAAGAGGUAAGUGGAAUACCGAGUGUAGAGGUGAAAUUCGUAGAUAUUCGGUGGAACACCAGUGGCGAAGGCGACUUACUGGUCCAUUUCUGACGCUGAGGCGCGAAAGCGUGGGGAUCAAACAGGAUUAGAUACCCUGGUAGUCCACGCCGUAAACGAUGAAUGCCAGCCGUUGGGGAGCUUGCUCUUCAGUGGCGCNGCUACGUACUUAGUACACUCCGUCCGUCGGGUAGGUACGGUCGCGAGAAUUAAACUAACAAAGAAGUUAGACGGCGUGAGACGUGCCGACGGACGACGACGAGGGAGGUAGG
rnacentral:rRNA from 1 species